AUGUAUUGCUAUCAUCCCUAUUCUGCAGAUGAGGAAACUGAGGCACAAAGAGGUUAUGAAAUCUACCCAGCCUCAGCAGAUAAAUGGGGGAGAUGGGAUUCAAACCCAGGCGCCACCCCUCGUUCUUAUCCCACAAAACCUUCCGUCUACUGGACCUCGAGAUGGCGAGUGAAUCGUCCUGAGCAUUCGUGCAUCAGUCUAUUUUUGCAAAUAAAGUUUUGCUGGAGCACAGCCACGCCCACCUGUUUACACAUCAUCUGUGACGGCUUUCACGCUACAAGGGCAGAGUCGAGUAGUCGUAACAAAGACUAUUUUCCCUGUGAAGCCUAUUUACUCUCUGGCUUUUACAGAAAAGGUUUGCCGACCGUGGUCCUGAGCCUGUUUUCUCAUCUGUCCAAUGGUAGCCGCAGCAAGCCCGCUCCUGGGGCCGUGGUGGGGAUGAAACGAGUGCGCACACGGGGCCACCGAGAACCACCGGCUCGGUGGAGGGCCCACCUUCACCAGUCACGUUUGGAUCUGCCUAAGAAUGGGAGAUCUCACCACUACGGAGGGACCCCUGGGAGCUGGAGGUGGGAGAGACAGCGGUGAUGGAGGCAAGGAGACUGUGGGAGACACUGACCGCUAAUAAUGCUAGAGGCAGCCUAUGUGAGGCUCACAACAUGGCCCCUGAGGUCCAGCAGAGCUGGGUGGAGUCCUGGCUCCUCCAACUUUCAACCAUGUGACUCUGGACAGAAGUCUUGAUCUCAGCUCCUGGUUCCUUCAGCAUCAGAGUCGCCUGGAGGGCUGACUAGAAGCACAGAUUGCUGGGCCCUACCCCAGAGGAGAAUUUGAGUUUCUAACAAGUGACGCUGACGCUGCUGGUCCUGAGACUCCACUUUCAGCACCGCUGCUCUGAGCCUGGUGCCCUGCACACCUGUACACCACCGCCUCAGGGCCGGGAAGAGCAAUAGAAGCCAAACCGUUGACACGUCUGCUGCCCUCCCAGUCUGACCCAGUGAGAGGUGUGUGCAGGUGUCUGUCCACUGCAGGGCCCAGUUCUGCUAGUGCCUGGGAGUUGCUCCCACGGAUGCCACUGAGACCCCACUGACACCCCACUGAGACCCCACUGAGACCCCACUGACAUCCAGCGGGCCCUGCAGGCAGCCAGAUCCUGGCAUCUCACACACUCGCAGGCGACCCGGAGCAAGUAGCUUAACUUUUCUAUCCUCCUCGUCUGUAAAGCGGCCGCGAUGACAGGAUCUGUCAGGAGGCAUGAGUCAGGUGACACAUACACAGCUCUCAGCACAGCGCCUGGCACUAGGGAGCGCUCCAUCAAUGGUGGACGUCACCACCAUCAUCACCAUCAUCAUCAUUAAUUCUCACGUUCUGGCUCCAAAGGAUAAGAGGGGGAAGUGGCAAAAGAAUGGAAUGGUCAGAUGGCGAUUUGUCUACAGAAAACAGUAACCUCUGGUGGGAUAGAGAGAAGCUUGUAUUCAAAUCUGCUUCAGCGUCCACUCCCCACUCUGGUGUGCAUGCGACAGACACACACAAAUACACACUCACAUGCGCACCCACACCCACACAGACACACUCACCCACACAUCUGCUG
rnacentral:lncRNA from 1 species